CAGCUGCAACAGAAAACAACCAAUUCAACAAGGCACCUUACUGAGGGUUAAUUACUACAACCAGAUAUUCCCAAACUUAAUAAUGCUCCUGCUUGUUCCCUUUAGGGGUGAAACGAUUACUCGAGUAAAUCGAGUAACUCGAUUCAAAAAAUUGAUCGAUUAAUUUUCUGUGCCUCGAGUAAUCGUUUAUUUAAUUAAUAAACUCAGCGCGCGGUAUUUCCGCGACUUUUAUUUUGACAACGCGCUCAGCGUUACGUCACUCUCGCCCGGGAAGAAGGAGACGGAGGUUUGAGCAGCGGCAAAAUGGAAGCGGCGAGAGAAAACAGCGGUUUUAAAGGAAUAAAAGCAUUUUAGGUUGGAACGGUGACAUGUAUUCAGUGCAGCGCGUCCUUGCCUCCCAAAACAGCGCGUUUUAAUGCUGCACCAUCUGAGCUGAGGACAGCCGAGAGAGCAGGUCCUGAUAUAUUUUGGAGAAGUGGCUUGGUGGUAAAAGAAUGCAGCACACUGAUCCAACACUGGCAGAACUGACAACGUCUCUGCUGUUCAGAAGCUAAGAUGCACAACACAAAGACGAUGUUUAUGCCUUUUUUAUUGAUUAAUACCCUAUAUUUGAUACUUACAAGAAAUCCAAAAUUGAAAGUAAUGUAAUUAAAUGUAUUUUUGUAAUUGUGGUAUUUAUUUCUUUAUUGUGGUUUUUUUAUUUGUAUUUGCAAUUUGGAAAUGUAUGUUGUGAUUUUAAAAAUAUAACUUAUCUAAACAAGGAAA